GGCUGCAUCGAUCCAGAAGCAGUAAUUUCAAACAAGGUGGUGCAUGUCAUUCGCCUUGUGUACUACACAUUGAACAGGAUACAAUUGAGAGAAGGGUAGCAACGUGGAUAUAGCCAUUUCAAGGAUACAUUAUUAACGCACUCGAACUCAUAUUGGCGCUUUGUAAGCCUUUAAAAGGCAUUUGGAUAGAAGCUAAAAAAUAGUCUCCUCAAGUUAGGGAUUGAGUUGUUUGCCGUCGAGUGGGUGAUAAGGAUGGAUAAGGAACAACUCAAACGCCAAAGGGAUAUACUUCAGAGGCAGAAAGGCAUUGAUAGAAUGGUUCUGUCGGAAUCAAUAGCAGAGAUGAUUAACUUCGUCACCGGGAACAUGCCGAAAGACGCCCUCGUGUGUCCGCCUAAAGAUAAAAAGGAAAACCCCUGGGCCGAGAGAACAAAAUGUACAGUUUUAUAACGCCGCCAUAGACAUCAACCACGCACACUUCACCCAAAGAGAGCUGAGAAUUUGACAGAAUAUGUUGCUUGGAUGGCCCCCAGAUGGCUAAAGGUCUACCCUCAUGGCGACAAAUCAGCACCUAUUUGUCAUAUCAUCUGUUUACUGCACGAAUCUAAACUGGCCGCCAUUUUGCAGCGCUCACACUUGAUAUAUAUAAUAGUAAAACAGCACAAAAUCUGUAACACCGAUUUGCGUCUUAGCCCAUGGAUUCUGUAAACUGGUGGCAUUGCAGACGCUACUCAUCGAGUUGCGGUUGUCGCAUGAUUUACAACAGCACAUGUACACCAACCUAACCGUAUCAAUCACUGUUGAGGUAUUGAAGAAAAUAACAUCUAACACCACGCAGUGCACGUACAUGUAGAAGCCAUAAUGUACACAUCAUCUUGAAAAGCAGUCGGGUACCUGAAAGGGCUGAAAGUUGCUCGGAAGCAGCGCUAUCAUAAAAUGGUUUCCCAUGGUGCUUUCACAACAAGUGUGGAAAAAAGAGCGUAGAAUGAAGACCUACAAGAUUUCCGUAGCCAAAUUCCAUUAUGGUUUCCACGAGUGUACAAGAGUUUUAGAGACGUACUCGAUCGAGCAAUCGGAUAUGAGCGGAAUUAAAAUGACCAGCUAUGCAUACCCUGUAAAAUCAAUAUGAAUUCAAACAUUUAAAGUAGAGAGCUACGAAUGUAGAAAGGAUCGACGAAGCACCAUGAGCUGUCUGGUUGGAGAUGUCGUUGAAAGGAGGACCUUUCGCCCGAAUUCGGUCUAAUUUCUGAAAAUAGGUAUAGGCAGGUUUCGCAAUAUAACUCUUACGAAGAUCUACAAACGACGAAGUACGAAGUAUGCACCUGUAAAUUUUUACAUAAAUUUCCCCGAUUCUUCGUAGAAACUAAAAAUAGAAGAAUUAGCAUAGUACUAUGUAUAUUACACAACAAGCCUUGAAGUUUGUAGUUCUUACUUCGUCGUUCGUAUAGCGGUUGCGAAACUUGCCUAUUGUUCAAUUUUUGUUGAUACAAGCCCUCGGCAUCCGUCUGAAGCUUUGUUCAACUGGAGGGUCUUUGGCCAAAAAACACGGACAACGAUGACUUCACACAAAUAUCUUUUAUCAGUGGACCUUUCUCGUUAUCUAAUUCGGGUUGCAUUUAAUUUCCUUGUGUCAAGAUGUUCAUUAGGUGAGCUCUUAGUGGACAGCUCAUGUGCUGAACGUCCAUUUUGACCGAACAGUUUUAUACGGAAUUAUGCUAGAGUAGACGCAACAUAGACACGAUAUAGGGUAUAGAAUAACAUCACUGACAUUAUGGUAAUCCAUUUUUCGGUAGAAUUUAGCUAACAAUUUGAAUAAUAUCAAAUUACACGGGAAUUCAUUAGAUAUAGUAAUUCUUUUUGUGUCAAGUCUUUUAUAUAUCGUUAUACCUCGUGUCCAAAAGCACCUAAAUGUAACUGCAAUUGUAAUGAAUUAAAUGUACGUGUACAUGUAUAUUGUACUGAAUGACGUGUGUACUGGAGUUUCGGCGGCAUAUCUAUUCAUUCCCGAACUGGAUGCACCCAUGAUCUUUGUUGUUCCAUCUGCGAUGUUUCCGCAAACUCGACUUAAAAGAAACCUCCUUAGUAAUCGUGACAUGUUGUAAUUGCAGUAGAUAACGAAACUGCAAAGCAAAAUUGGUGAAGAAUAAUUGACUUAACCUCAACUGUCCUUACAACUCCUAGAGGUUUACAAGCCAUUUCCCAAAAUUUCAGGAGAAAAAUAUCACUUUUUCUUAAUAUGAUAGUGGUUGUAGCGCAACCGCAAGAGCCUUUUCAUCGGGUUGAGAACUUGUUUAUACAGACACUUAUAUACCAACGGGAUGGAAAGGAAAUGGGCAGUCAGCUCAGGAAGAUUGAACGGCCGCCGAAGAAAUCUGAGCGAAAGCCUGUAUUUAAAUAUGCAGGAAUGCCCGGAUAUUGGCGCAAUCCUGUCCAUAUUACUCAACUUAUUGUCAUCGUCAUUUGAUUUAUGAUCAUCAGUUAUUUCAAUAUUGUAUCAAUCAGUGGUCGCACGCCCCGUAACGUAAUUUUGUGUAUGUUAAUUACUUAGUACUCGUAUGGCUGUGAAAUUUAAUUAGUAACAACCCCGUCCCAUAUUUAUAUCAUAUCCUGGUGCAGGGACGACAGAAGGUAUGUGUUCGUGUUGUAUUUCAUAACUGAACCCGUUGAUGAGGUUGCACAGGUGGAUGUCCACAGUUUGCAUGAGCGUUUGUAUGAGCGUGAGUGACGUCAUUUCAAAUUGAGGUAAGUUCUCGGUAUUAACUUGCAGAGAUGAUGUCUUAAUGCAAUCUCCCAAUGAGAGAAAUAGCUGCAUUUGCUCCGAAGAGCUAUAGUACAUUAGUUCCGUAGAGCAAAAGUACGACAGUACCCCUCCCACACUUUCAUUAAACGGCGAUGGUCUAUCAACAGUCACCAAAGUGAAGGCUUGGAGAUUGGUCUAAAUGGCGUUCAUGAACAACUAUGUAGGUGGUGAAUGUAUUGUAUCGAAAGGUACCGGCGAAUAAAUGUCUCAUGUUUUCUGAUUUCGCGUGGCGGCCACAGAAUACAGUUGCUACAGUUUGUUUCAAAUGUUAUGAUUAUGAUACCUAUUCAUGUUAUCAAUAGUUGUUUGGUCAGUGCAAUAAUAGAGUACAAACAUGGAAACUAUAUGUAGCCUACAGGUCUGUCAGGCAGUGAAUUUAAAUUCAAAAUGGAUGGUUUCAUUUUAAUUCCUUUCGUUAUUGUAAAAUUCGCACUUAAAGGGACAGUAUGGGCAGCAGCUGGGCAGGCAAGACAAAGUUACACGAAUUCACCAAUAGGGGUCUCUCACAUCUCACAGUACGUCAAAAUAAUUCAUUCUUGUUCGAGGAAUAUAUUCAGUGCUGAAUCUGACAUGACCCAAGGUCCUUACUGCGUAUAUUAGUCACCUGAAGAUGGCCAAAUUAGCCUCUCUGCUCCUGCCUAUAGUCCCCCUUUAAAUGAAAUUGAAAUUAAAAUUAAAUUUCAACUGUAAUUAUUCCUUUCGUCAAUGUGAAGUAAGUGAACACAAAUGAAAACAUGUGUUUAUGAAAUGGAGUUCAGUGUUGUCCCAAGGUAAUACGUUAUGCCAACACCCUUUUCGUCAAACAAAUUUCGAGCGUUGAUCGUUGUUGUUCGGUUGGAACUCCGGUAAGUUUGCAAGUGAAUCGUAGCUUUUUAAACUUAUCUCUAAUCUCUAAACUCAUCAUUUUAGGAUACAGUGUACAUGUAGAAGGCUACAAAGCUUUAGGAUUUGAAUAUUAAGACGUAAAAUCUGAUUUAAAUUUGACGCACGGAAUAGCUGAAUUUCAAAAGACCAAAACUAUCUACUGUGCCAUUUCAAAUAAUUUACAAUACCUAAAACUUGUAAUAUUGGAAGAUAUUCUAGCACGUGUCUUGAUGACUCCCAUAAAGAGUUAUGGAUAUUUUCUUGAGUUAUUGAAAGUUGGUCUCACGUCCGAGAAAUUUAUUUGUUGAGUAAAACAUGUAAAAAUGUUGAAUCCAGAAUUGAGAAUAUUUCUUCAAAGUGUGCAAUGUCACUGUUAUUUAUUAUGUAGUGUGUACAUUGUAUUUAGAUGGUUUUAUCCAAAUUUUCAUUUACAACUACUGUCCACCUUGUUCACGGAAUAACGACAUUGACCUUGAGACUGAAACGAGGCAAUUUACAACAUCUGGUUCACGAACGUACACGAUAUCUUCAGGGGAGUUAUUACAAUUGGUUAUGAAAUCAGGCAGACAAAAUUUUACGGUUACUAGACAUAAACAAAGCUUUCUCCAUAACAAUAAUAACUUGCCCCCUGAGGUAAGUUACAAUGUUACCCAGGUUCAGGGGUAACAUUCACUGAACGUUAGGAACUUCUUUAAACUGAAAAUUUCCGAUUAUUUUAUAAUUUUGUAAAAUCCCAACCAAUGCUUUUUAUGAAGUCCUGAAACCAAUUCUAAUAAUUAAUAACGCCAUAACGUUGAUAAAAAAAAAAGAAUUACCCUUCGUCCUUCAGGCCUCCACCCCUGGUUUCUUUGUCAAUUUUCAGUGAAGUGGUAGCUUGUCUAUGCCCUCAGAGGUCGUUGUGAGUAUGAUUAUGACACAACAACUUUGGUUUAAGAUAUAUAGCCGACUUCAAAGAACCUGUAAUAAGCCCGGGACGCAGCGUUGUCAAGACAACCAUGCAUGUUGCCAUGAUGGUGUGGCCAUUAUGGCUAUUUUACUUGCUGGUUGUCAGAGCUCGAUUAGGUUUUUUGCCCUUUUGGUUUCUCAUCUCUCAUACCAUUAAUCACCACGUCCUUGGGUAGCCAUUCACAGCCAGGAAUAAACAAAGCAUUUGCUUCAGUAAUUGCUUUUUUCUAAGAUCAAGUUUGAGGUGAAUGGCCAAAAAAUAUCACCCCGGUUGAAGGGAACAUCAUCCAACCGAGGUAACUCAACUACAGGGUUUUGCAAGAAAAGCCAUAAGUAAAACUCACAUCUUAUGGAUUUUGCUGAAAUAAAGCAUGUUCAAGUUGGUCGUCUACAUGUAUUGCUUUUAAGAUUGAUAGACAAAAAGGUAUUUUGUAGCAGAUGGAUUUGUUAAGAAUACCUCCCGGUAGAGUUCAAACUAGUAUAUUGUACAUUCCAAACGAGAGAAAGCCCUGUUCAGAAAUUACUUGCCAGCUACAUAUUUAUCGGUUUUGAUAUGUGGGGGGAAAUUUCUGAGAUGCCGAAGAUACAUGCACCAUGGAUUAAUUUGGUAUUGGCCCUGCUCAUUACUUUAGACAGCCUGGCUAUGAUUGAGGCAACCCCGUUUCAUUCACGACAUUCCCCAUUGUGUUCAAUGUAUAUUAUACGUGUAUAUGAUAUACUCACUUCUUAUUGAGACUAUAGAAUAAAGUAUAUGCUGUACGUAUAUAGUAGGA